UACGUAGGGGGCAAGCGUUGUCCGGAAUCAUUGGGCGUAAAGCGCACGUAGGCGGCUUUGUAAGUUAGAGGUGAAAGCCCGGGGCUCAACUCCGGAAUUGCCUUUAAGACUGCAUCGCUAGAAUUGUGGAGAGGUAAGUGGAAUUCCGAGUGUAGAGGUGAAAUUCGUAGAUAUUCGGAAGAACACCAGUGGCGAAGGCGACUUACUGGACACAUAUUGACGCUGAGGUGCGAAAGCGUGGGGAGCAAACAGG
rnacentral:rRNA from 1 species